rnacentral:rRNA from 1 species
UACGGAGGGGGCGAGCGUUAUUCGGAAUUAUUGGGCGUAAAGGGCGCGUAGGCGGCUUGGCAAGUCAAAGGUGAAAUCCCUCGGCUCAACUGAGGAACUGCCUUUGAAACUGCCUGGCUUGAGGCCGGGAGGGGGUAGCGGAAUUCCCAGUGUAGCGGUGAAAUGCGCAGAUAUCAGGAGGAACACCAAUGGCGAAGGCAGCUCGCUGGAACGGUACUGACGCUGAGGAGCGAAAGCCAGGGGAGCAAACGGG